GACGAACGCUGGCGGCGUGCCUAAUACAUGCAAGUAGGACGCAGUUGCGAACGGGUGAGUAACGCGUAGGUAACUACCUAUUAGAGGGGGAUAACUAUUGGAAACGAUAGCUAAUACCGCAUACCAGUAGUUGGACCUGCGUUGUAUUAUCUAGUAGGUCGGGUACUGGCCUACCUAGGCAACGGUACAUAGCCGAGCUGGGAUGGUGGACGGGCAAACUGGGACUGGAACACGGCCCAGAAUCCGACGGGAGGGAGCUGUAGGGGAUCUUCGGAAAUGGGGGGAAACCUUGCCGAACAACGGCGCGGGAGUGAAGAAGGUUUUCGGGUAGUAAAGCUCUGUUGUUAAGGGAGCGGUACUUGACCAGAAAGGGACGGCUAACUACGUGCCAGCAGCCGCGGUAAUAC
rnacentral:rRNA from 1 species